UACGGGGGGGGCAAGCGUUGUUCGGAAUUACUGGGCGUAAAGGGCUCGUAGGCGGCCAACUAAGUCAGACGUGAAAUCCCUCGGCUUAACCGGGGAACUGCGUCUGAUACUGGUGGGCUUGAAUCCGGGAGAGGGAUGCGGAAUUCCAGGUGUAGCGGUGAAAUGCGUAGAUAUCUGGAGGAACACCGGUGGCGAAGGCGGCAUCCUGGACCGGUAUUGACGCUGAGGCGCGAAAGCCAGGGGAGCAAACGGG
rnacentral:rRNA from 1 species